rnacentral:rRNA from 1 species
AGAGUUUGAUCCUGGCUCAGGAUGAACGCUGGCGGCGUGCCUAAUACAUGCAAGUCGAACGCUUCACUUCGGUGAAGAGUGGCGAACGGGUGAGUAAUACAUAAGUAACCUGGCAUCUACAGGGGGAUAACUGAUGGAAACGUCAGCUAAGACCGCAUAGGUGUAGAGAUCGCAUGAACUCUAUAUGAAAAGUGCUACGGGACUGGUAGAUGAUGGACUUAUGGCGCAUUAGCUGGUUGGUAGGGUAACGGCCUACCAAGGCGACGAUGCGUAGCCGACCUGAGAGGGUGACCGGCCACACUGGGACUGAGACACGGCCCAGACUCCUACGGGAGGCAGCAGUAGGGAAUUUUCGGCAAUGGGGGAAACCCUGACCGAGCAACGCCGCGUGAAGGAAGAAGUAAUUCGUUAUGUAAACUUCUGUCAUAGAGGAAGAACGGUGGAUAUAGGGAAUGAUAUCCAAGUGACGGUACUCUAUAAGAAAGCCACGGCUAACUACGUGCCAGCAGCCGCGGUAAUACGUAGGUGGCGAGCGUUAUCCGGAAUUAUUGGGCGUAAAGAGGGAGCAGGCGGCACUAAGGGUCUGUGGUGAAAGAUCGAAGCUUAACUUCGGUAAGCCAUGGAAACCGUAGAGCUAGAGUGUGUGAGAGGAUCGUGGAAUUCCAUGUGUAGCGGUGAAAUGCGUAGAUAUAUGGAGGAACACCAGUGGCGAAGGCGACGAUCUGGCGCAUAACUGACGCUCAGUCCCGAAAGCGUGGGGAGCAAAUAGGAUUAGAUACCCUAGUAGUCCACGCCGUAAACGAUGAGUACUAAGUGUUGGGGGUCAAACCUCAGUGCUGCAGUUAACGCAAUAAGUACUCCGCCUGAGUAGUACGUUCGCAAGAAUGAAACUCAAAGGAAUUGACGGGGGCCCGCACAAGCGGUGGAGCAUGUGGUUUAAUUCGAAGCAACGCGAAGAACCUUACCAGGUCUUGACAUCGAUCUAAAGGCUCCAGAGAUGGAGAGAUAGCUAUAGAGAAGACAGGUGGUGCAUGGUUGUCGUCAGCUCGUGUCGUGAGAUGUUGGGUUAAGUCCCGCAACGAGCGCAACCCUUACUGUCAGUUACUACGCAAGAGGACUCUGGCAGGACUGCCGUUGACAAAACGGAGGAAGGUGGGGAUGACGUCAAAUCAUCAUGCCCCUUAUGACCUGGGCUACACACGUGCUACAAUGGACAGAGCAGAGGGAAGCGAAGCCGCGAGGUGGAGCGAAACCCAUAAAACUGUUCUCAGUUCGGACUGCAGUCUGCAACUCGACUGCACGAAGAUGGAAUCGCUAGUAAUCGCGAAUCAGCAUGUCGCGGUGAAUACGUUCUCGGGCCUUGUACACACCGCCCGUCACACCAUGAGAGUCGGUAACACCCGAAGCCGGUGGCCUAACCGCAAGGAAGGAGCUGUCUAAGGUGGGACUGAUGAUUGGGGUGAAGUCGUAACAAGGUAUCCCUACGGGAACGUGGGGAUG